rnacentral:rRNA from 1 species
GAUGAACGCUAGCGGGAGGCUUAACACAUGCAAGUCGAGGGGCAUCACGAGGUAGCAAUACUUUGGUGGCGACCGGCGCACGGGUGAGUAACGCGUAUGCAACCUACCCUGUACAGGGGGAUAGCCCGGAGAAAUUCGGAUUAAUACCCCAUAAUGAUAUUUUAUGGCAUCAUAAAAUAUUUAAAGCUCAGGCGGUACGGGAUGGGCAUGCGUAACAUUAGCUAGUUGGUAGGGUAAUGGCCUACCAAGGCGACGAUGUUUAGGGGUCCUGAGAGGGUGAUCCCCCACACUGGUACUGAGACACGGACCAGACUCCUACGGGAGGCAGCAGUGAGGAAUAUUGGUCAAUGGGCGCGAGCCUGAACCAGCCAUCCCGCGUGAAGGAAGACUGCCCUAUGGGUUGUAAACUUCUUUUCCAGGGGAAUAAAAUCUCGAACGAGUUCGGGACUGAAGGUACCCUGGGAAUAAGCAUCGGCUAACUCCGUGCCAGCCGCCGCCGUAACAC